rnacentral:lncRNA from 1 species
UAUUUAUUUAUUUAUUUUGGUUUUUCAAGACAGGAACCAUACCUAACUAACUGGUUGCUUUUGCAACUGUAAACACAGCCGCUUGGUUACCAUAAAAAUCAUGUAUGUUUAUUAUCUGGAAAUGUAAGCCAGUACACAUUCAUUUAAAAUUGGGUCUACGAUGCCAUUUGCCCCUUCUGUGAUGGAGUCCUCUGUCACUGUAUGGUACUUUGAGUCAAGCAAGCAGCCGUGGGGCUGGAAACAGAGUCUAAGGUAGUGGAUUGCUGCCCGCGGUGCUGCUGUGUCUGUGAGCUGGUAGACCCUGAUCAUCCUGGUCUGCAGUGCUCAGUCCAUCAGCCCCCAGCCCGCUUCCCCGCACUCCUCAGUGCAGGGUGGGAUCCAUGGCGGCACACAUGCUGGGCAGACACCUCCAGUCUCCUGAUUUCCUAGCCCCCCAAAGAGCCCAUCUGUCUGAUUAAGAACCCUUUU